UUAAGCGACUAAGCGUACACGGUGGAUGCCCUGGCAGUCAGAGGCGAUGAAGGACGUGCUAAUCUGCGAAAAGCGUCGGUAAGGUGAUAUGAACCGUUACAGCCGGCGAUGUCCGAAUGGGGAAACCCAGUGCAAUUCGUUGCACUAUCGUUAACUGAAUACAUAGGUUAACGAGGCGAACCGGGGGAACUGAAACAUCUAAGUACCCCGAGGAAAAGAAAUCAACCGAGAUUCCCCCAGUAGCGGCGAGCGAACGGGGAGCAGCCCAGAGUCUGAAUCAGCUUGUGUGUUAGUGGAACGGUCUGGAAAGUCCGACGGUACAGGGUGAUAGUCCCGUACACCAAAAUGCACAGGCUGUGAACUCGAAGAGUAGGGCGGGACACGUGGUAUCCUGUCUGAAUAUGGGGGGACCAUCCUCCAAGGCUAAAUACUCCUGACUGACCGAUAGUGAACCAGUACCGUGAGGGAAAGGCGAAAAGAACCCCGGCGAGGGGAGUGAAAAAGAACCUGAAACCGUGUACGUACAAGCAGUGGGAGCACCUUCGGGUGUGACUGCGUACCUUUUGUAUAAUGGGUCAGCGACUUAUAUUCUGUAGCAAGGUUAACCGUAUAGGGGAGCCGCAGGGAAACCGAGUCUUAACUGGGCGUUAAGUUGCAGGGUAUAGACCCGAAACCCGGUGAUCUAGCCAUGGGCAGGUUGAAGGUUGGGUAACACUAACUGGAGGACCGAACCGACUAAUGUUGAAAAAUUAGCGGAUGACUUGUGGCUGGGGGGGAAAGGCCAAUCAAACCGGGAGAUAGCUGGUUCUCCCCGAAAGCUAUUUAGGUAGCGCCUCGUGAACUCAUCUUCGGGGGUAGAGCACUGUUUCGGCUAGGGGGUCAUCCCGACUUACCAACCCGAUGCAAACUACGAAUACCGAAGAAUGUUAUCACGGGAGACACACGGCGGGUGCUAACGUCCGUCGUGAAGAGGGAAACAACCCAGACCGCCAGCUAAGGUCCCAAAGUCAUGGUUAAGUGGGAAACGAUGUGGGAAGGCACAGACAGCCAGGAUGUUGGCUUAGAAGCAGCCAUCAUUUAAAGAAAGCGUAAUAGCUCACUGGUCGAGUCGGCCUGCGCGGAAGAUGUAACGGGGCUAAACCAUGCACCGAAGCUGCGGCAGCGACACUAUGUGUUGUUGGGUAGGGGAGCGUUCUGUAAGCCUGCGAAGGUGUGCUGUGAGGCAUGCUGGAGGUAUCAGAAGUGCGAAUGCUGACAUAAGUAACGAUAAAGCGGGUGAAAAGCCCGCUCGCCGGAAGACCAAGGGUUCCUGUCCAACGUUAAUCGGGGCAGGGUGAGUCGACCCCUAAGGCGAGGCCGAAAGGCGUAGUCGAUGGGAAACAGGUUAAUAUUCCUGUACUUGGUGUUACUGCGAAGGGGGGACGGAGAAGGCUAUGUUAGCCGGGCGACGGUUGUCCCGGUUUAAGCAUGUAGGCUGGUUAUCCAGGCAAAUCCGGAUAAUCAAGGCUGAGGUGUGAUGACGAGGCACUACGGUGCUGAAGUAACAAAUGCCCUGCUUCCAGGAAAAGCCUCUAAGCAUCAGGUAACAUCAAAUCGUACCCCAAACCGACACAGGUGGUCAGGUAGAGAAUACCAAGGCGCUUGAGAGAACUCGGGUGAAGGAACUAGGCAAAAUGGUGCCGUAACUUCGGGAGAAGGCACGCUGGUGUGUAGGUGAAGUCCCUGCGGAUGGAGCUGAGACCAGUCGAAGAUACCAGCUGGCUGCAACUGUUUAUUAAAAACACAGCACUGUGCAAACACGAAAGUGGACGUAUACGGUGUGACGCCUGCCCGGUGCCGGAAGGUUAAUUGAUGGGGUUAUCCGUAAGGAGAAGCUCUUGAUCGAAGCCCCGGUAAACGGCGGCCGUAACUAUAACGGUCCUAAGGUAGCGAAAUUCCUUGUCGGGUAAGUUCCGACCUGCACGAAUGGCGUAAUGAUGGCCAGGCUGUCUCCACCCGAGACUCAGUGAAAUUGAACUCGCUGUGAAGAUGCAGUGUACCCGCGGCAAGACGGAAAGACCCCGUGAACCUUUACUAUAGCUUGACACUGAACAUUGAGCCUUGAUGUGUAGGAUAGGUGGGAGGCUUUGAAGCGUGGACGCCAGUCUGCGUGGAGCCAACCUUGAAAUACCACCCUUUAAUGUUUGAUGUUCUAACGUUGGCCCCUGACCGGGGUUGCGGACAGUGUCUGGUGGGUAGUUUGACUGGGGCGGUCUCCUCCCAAAGCGUAACGGAGGAGCACGAAGGUUAGCUAAUCCUGGUCGGACAUCAGGAGGUUAGUGCAAUGGCAUAAGCUAGCUUGACUGCGAGCGUGACGGCGCGAGCAGGUGCGAAAGCAGGUCAUAGUGAUCCGGUGGUUCUGAAUGGAAGGGCCAUCGCUCAACGGAUAAAAGGUACUCCGGGGAUAACAGGCUGAUACCGCCCAAGAGUUCAUAUCGACGGCGGUGUUUGGCACCUCGAUGUCGGCUCAUCACAUCCUGGGGCUGAAGUAGGUCCCAAGGGUAUGGCUGUUCGCCAUUUAAAGUGGUACGCGAGCUGGGUUUAGAACGUCGUGAGACAGUUCGGUCCCUAUCUGCCGUGGGCGCUGGAGAAUUGAGGGGGGCUGCUCCUAGUACGAGAGGACCGGAGUGGACGCAUCACUGGUGUUCGGGUUGUCAUGCCAAUGGCACUGCCCGGUAGCUAAAUGCGGAAGAGAUAAGUGCUGAAAGCAUCUAAGCACGAAACUUGCCCCGAGAUGAGUUCUCCCUGAGACUAUAAGUCUCCUGAAGGAACGUUAAAGACGAUGACGUUGAUAGGCCGGGUGUGUAAGCGCAGCGAUGCGUUGAGCUAACCGGUACUAAUGAACCGUGAGGCUUAACCUU
rnacentral:rRNA from 1 species